GUGAAUCAUCGAAUCUUUGAACGCACAUUGCGCCUUUUGGUAUUCCGAGAGGCAUGUCUGUUUGAGCGUCAUGAACACACCUCGGUUGUUGGUUUUGUGCCUUCAGCCGGUCCUGAGCCUUAGGGGUAAACCCAAAGCUUUAAAUGAGAAGCUAGCGAGCCGUGUCUCACCCAACAGCGUAGUAAAGCUCUUGCCUCGCCUGGUUGAGAUGACCCGUUCUGCCUAGAACUACAUGACACUUUUGACCUCAGGUCAGACAAGGAUACCCGCUGAACUUAAGCAUAUCAAUAAGCGGAGGA
rnacentral:misc_RNA from 1 species